UCUGUCUAUUGGCACGCCUCUGCUUUUUGGCACGUCUUUUCUCUUUUGUUCUCGAUUCUAUAUCGCUUUCCAUGGCUGAUGUGGUGAAUGAGUUGACGAAUCUUUGCUAUUAAGGAGGAUGAAGCACUUGUUUUGGAAGAAGAAAAUCAUGCUUCUCCAAUUUCUUUUGUCCAUUGUUUUAUGGGAUCUUUCUUAACUGCUAGUGUAAUGAAUUUUGACUCCAUGCGAUUCACGCUAGCUAAUGUUUGGCACCCUCUAGGAGGAGUUUCUAUUUCAGAUCUGGGAGAUCGGCGCUACCUUUUUUGUUUAUAUCAUUCAAUAGAUAUUGAUAGAGUUGAAAGCGGUGGCCCUUGGGUUUUCAACUUCCACCUAUUGAUUUUACACAGGUUGAAAGAUAAUGAAGACCCAAUGAUUGUUCUUUUGUAUUUCUUAAAUAUGUGGGUUUUAGUGCAUGAUUUACUUAUUGGCUUUAUGUCUGAAUCGGUAGCCUAACAGUUAGGUAACUUUGUUGGUCUUUUCCUUGAAUAUGAUGCUAAGUUUUCCUCCAUGGGAUAUAAGGAUUAUGCGACUUCGAGCCCGUUUUGAUACUCUGUAAUAUCUCAAAAUCGAGAAGUAGACACGUGGAGAGGAGAAUAAAAAUUAGAAGACUCUGGAGAUGCUUGGCUUUCUUCUUCCUUUCUUCCCGUAGCUCCAUUGGUAAGAUAUCGAGCACGAACAAGUUCCGGGACGACUAUCAGGUUAAAAUUUGAUCGAAAGAAAUCAUAAAAUGGGAUUGGAACUUAGUGAGGCCAAGGUUACAGAAGCGAGAAGAAAAGCGAAGAAGAGCAAGACAGG